rnacentral:tRNA from 1 species
CCAUUAGCUCACUUGGUAGAGCGCCUCGCUGGCAGCGAGGAGGUAACCGGUUCGAAUCCGGUAUGG